UACGUAGGGGGCAAGCGUUGUCCGGAUUUACUGGGCGUAAAGAGCGUGUAGGCGGCCAAACAGGUCCGUUGUGAAAACUGGAGGCUCAACCUCCAGACGUCGACGGAAACCGUUUGGCUAGAGUCCGGAAGAGGAGAGUGGAAUUCCCGGUGUAGCGGUGAAAUGCGCAGAUAUCGGGAAGAACACCCGUGGCGAAGGCGGCUCUCUGGGACGGUACUGACGCUGAGACGCGAAAGCGUGGGGAGCGAACAGG
rnacentral:rRNA from 1 species